rfam:Trichosporon asahii var. asahii CBS 8904 unplaced genomic scaffold scaffold00066, whole genome shotgun sequence.
GGCCACUUAGCUCAGUUGGUUAGAGCGUAUGCUUAACACUCGGAACUCCGACGGAGCGAGAGAUUUACGCAUAAGGUCGGCGGUUCGACCCCCCCAGAGGUCA